UUAAGCGACUAAGCGUACACGGUGGAUGCCCUGGCAGUCAGAGGCGAUGAAGGACGUGCUAAUCUGCGAUAAGCGUCGGUAAGGUGAUAUGAACCGUUAUAACCGGCGAUUUCCGAAUGGGGAAACCCAGUGUGUUUCGACACACUAUCAUUAACUGAAUCCAUAGGUUAAUGAGGCGAACCGGGGGAACUGAAACAUCUAAGUACCCCGAGGAAAAGAAAUCAACCGAGAUUCCCCCAGUAGCGGCGAGCGAACGGGGAGCAGCCCAGAGCCUGAAUCAGUAUGUGUGUUAGUGGAAGCGUCUGGAAAGGCGCGCGAUACAGGGUGACAGCCCCGUACACAAAAAUGCACAUGCUGUGAGCUCGAUGAGUAGGGCGGGACACGUGGUAUCCUGUCUGAAUAUGGGGGGACCAUCCUCCAAGGCUAAAUACUCCUGACUGACCGAUAGUGAACCAGUACCGUGAGGGAAAGGCGAAAAGAACCCCGGCGAGGGGAGUGAAAAAGAACCUGAAACCGUGUACGUACAAGCAGUGGGAGCACGCUUAGGCGUGUGACUGCGUACCUUUUGUAUAAUGGGUCAGCGACUUAUAUUCUGUAGCAAGGUUAACCGAAUAGGGGAGCCGAAGGGAAACCGAGUCUUAACUGGGCGUUAAGUUGCAGGGUAUAGACCCGAAACCCGGUGAUCUAGCCAUGGGCAGGUUGAAGGUUGGGUAACACUAACUGGAGGACCGAACCGACUAAUGUUGAAAAAUUAGCGGAUGACUUGUGGCUGGGGGUGAAAGGCCAAUCAAACCGGGAGAUAGCUGGUUCUCCCCGAAAGCUAUUUAGGUAGCGCCUCGUGAAUUCAUCUCCGGGGGUAGAGCACUGUUUCGGCAAGGGGGUCAUCCCGACUUACCAACCCGAUGCAAACUGCGAAUACCGGAGAAUGUUAUCACGGGAGACACACGGCGGGUGCUAACGUCCGUCGUGAAGAGGGAAACAACCCAGACCGCCAGCUAAGGUCCCAAAGUCAUGGUUAAGUGGGAAACGAUGUGGGAAGGCCCAGACAGCCAGGAUGUUGGCUUAGAAGCAGCCAUCAUUUAAAGAAAGCGUAAUAGCUCACUGGUCGAGUCGGCCUGCGCGGAAGAUGUAACGGGGCUAAACCAUGCACCGAAGCUGCGGCAGCGACGCUGAUGCGUUGUUGGGUAGGGGAGCGUUCUGUAAGCCUGUGAAGGUGUGCUGUGAGGCAUGCUGGAGGUAUCAGAAGUGCGAAUGCUGACAUAAGUAACGAUAAAGCGGGUGAAAAGCCCGCUCGCCGGAAGACCAAGGGUUCCUGUCCAACGUUAAUCGGGGCAGGGUGAGUCGACCCCUAAGGCGAGGCCGAAAGGCGUAGUCGAUGGGAAACAGGUUAAUAUUCCUGUACUUGGUGUUACUGCGAAGGGGGGACGGAGAAGGCUAUGUUGGCCGGGCGACGGUUGUCCCGGUUUAAGCGUGUAGGCUGGUUUUCCAGGCAAAUCCGGAAAAUCAAGGCUGAGGCGUGAUGACGAGGCACUACGGUGCUGAAGCAACAAAUGCCCUGCUUCCAGGAAAAGCCUCUAAGCAUCAGGUAACAUCAAAUCGUACCCCAAACCGACACAGGUGGUCAGGUAGAGAAUACCAAGGCGCUUGAGAGAACUCGGGUGAAGGAACUAGGCAAAAUGGUGCCGUAACUUCGGGAGAAGGCACGCUGAUAUGUAGGUGAAGUCCCUCGCGGAUGGAGCUGAAAUCAGUCGAAGAUACCAGCUGGCUGCAACUGUUUAUUAAAAACACAGCACUGUGCAAACACGAAAGUGGACGUAUACGGUGUGACGCCUGCCCGGUGCCGGAAGGUUAAUUGAUGGGGUUAGCCGCAAGGCGAAGCUCUUGAUCGAAGCCCCGGUAAACGGCGGCCGUAACUAUAACGGUCCUAAGGUAGCGAAAUUCCUUGUCGGGUAAGUUCCGACCUGCACGAAUGGCGUAAUGAUGGCCAGGCUGUCUCCACCCGAGACUCAGUGAAAUUGAACUCGCUGUGAAGAUGCAGUGUACCCGCGGCAAGACGGAAAGACCCCGUGAACCUUUACUAUAGCUUGACACUGAACAUUGAGCCUUGAUGUGUAGGAUAGGUGGGAGGCUUUGAAGUGUGGACGCCAGUCUGCAUGGAGCCGACCUUGAAAUACCACCCUUUAAUGUUUGAUGUUCUAACGUUGACCCGUAAUCCGGGUUGCGGACAGUGUCUGGUGGGUAGUUUGACUGGGGCGGUCUCCUCCUAAAGAGUAACGGAGGAGCACGAAGGUUGGCUAAUCCUGGUCGGACAUCAGGAGGUUAGUGCAAUGGCAUAAGCCAGCUUGACUGCGAGCGUGACGGCGCGAGCAGGUGCGAAAGCAGGUCAUAGUGAUCCGGUGGUUCUGAAUGGAAGGGCCAUCGCUCAACGGAUAAAAGGUACUCCGGGGAUAACAGGCUGAUACCGCCCAAGAGUUCAUAUCGACGGCGGUGUUUGGCACCUCGAUGUCGGCUCAUCACAUCCUGGGGCUGAAGUAGGUCCCAAGGGUAUGGCUGUUCGCCAUUUAAAGUGGUACGCGAGCUGGGUUUAGAACGUCGUGAGACAGUUCGGUCCCUAUCUGCCGUGGGCGCUGGAGAACUGAGGGGGGCUGCUCCUAGUACGAGAGGACCGGAGUGGACGCAUCACUGGUGUUCGGGUUGUCAUGCCAAUGGCACUGCCCGGUAGCUAAAUGCGGAAGAGAUAAGUGCUGAAAGCAUCUAAGCACGAAACUUGCCCCGAGAUGAGUUCUCCCUGACUCCUUGAGAGUCCUGAAGGAACGUUGAAGACGACGACGUUGAUAGGCCGGGUGUGUAAGCGCAGCGAUGCGUUGAGCUAACCGGUACUAAUGAACCGUGAGGCUUAACCUU
rnacentral:rRNA from 1 species